AACGAACGCUGGCGGCAUGCCUAACACAUGCAAGUCGAACGAUCUCUUCGGGGAUAGUGGCGCACGGGUGCGUAACGCGUGGGAACCUGCCCUUAGGUUCGGAAUAACUCCCGAAGGGUGCUAUACCGAAUAAUGUCUUCGGACCAAAGAUUUAUCGCCUUUGGAUGGGCCCGCGUAGGAUUAGCUUGUUGGUGGGGUAAAGGCCUACCAAGGCGACGAUCCUUAGCUGGUCUGAGAGGAUGAUCAGCCACACUGGGGACUGAGACACGGCCCAGACUCCUACGGGAGGCAGCAGUGGGGAAUAUUGGACAAUGGCGCAAGCCUGAUCCAGCAAUGCCGCGUGAGUGAUGAAAGGCCCUUUAGGGGUUUGUAAAAGCUCUUUUUACCAGGGGAUGAUAAUGACAGUACCUGGAGAAUAAGCUCCGGCUAACUCCGUGCUAGCAGCCGCGGUAAUACGGAGGGAGCUAGCGUUGUUCGGAAUUACUGGGCGUAAAGCGCACGUAGGCGGCAUCGCAAGUCA
rnacentral:rRNA from 1 species